GAUGAACGCUGGCGGCGUGCCUAAUACAUGCAAGUCGAGCGAACAGACGAGGAGCUUGCUCCUCUGACGUUAGCGGCGGACGGGUGAGUAACACGUGGAUAACCUACCUAUAAGACUGGGAUAACUUCGGGAAACCGGAGCUAAUACCGGAUAAUAUAUUGAACCGCAUGGUUCAAUAGUGAAAGACGGUUUUGCUGUCACUUAUAGAUGGAUCCGCGCCGCAUUAGCUAGUUGGUAAGGUAACGGCUUACCAAGGCUACGAUGCGUAGCCGACCUGAGAGGGGGAUCGGCCACACUGGAACUGAGACACGGUCCAGAGUCCUACGGGAGGCAGCAGUAGGGAAUCUUCCGCAAUGGGCGAAAGCCUGACGGAGCAACGCCGCGUGAGUGAUGAAGGUCUUCGGAUCGUAAAACUCUGUUAUUAGGGAAGAACAAAUGUGUAAGUAACUAUGCACGUCUUGACGGUACCUAAUCAGAAAGCCACGGCUAACUACGUG
rnacentral:rRNA from 1 species